UACGUAGGGCGCAAGCGUUGUCCGGAAUUAUUGGGCGUAAAGAGCUCGUAGGCGGCCUGUUACGUCUGCUGUGAAAUCCCGGGGCUUAACCCCGGGCGUGCAGUGGAUACGGGCAGGCUGGAGUGCGGCAGGGGAGACUGGAAUUCCUGGUGUAGCGGUGGAAUGCGCAGAUAUCAGGAGGAACACCGGUGGCGAAGGCGGGUCUCUGGGCCGUUACUGACGCUGAGGAGCGAAAGCGUGGGGAGCGAACAGG
rnacentral:rRNA from 1 species